GAUGAACGCUGGCGGCGUGCUUAACGCAUGCAAGUCGAACGAAGCAUUUGCGACAGAUUUUUUCGGAAUGAAGUUGCUUAUGACUGAGUGGCGGACGGGUGAGUAACGCGUGGGUAACCUGCCUUGUACUGGGGGAUAGCAGCUGGAAACGGCUGGUAAUACCGCAUAAGCGCACAAUGUUGCAUGACAUGGUGUGAAAAACUCCGGUGGUAUAAGAUGGACCCGCGUCUGAUUAGCUAGUUGGUGAGAUAACAGCCCACCAAGGCGACGAUCAGUAGCCGACCUGAGAGGGUGACCGGCCACAUUGGGACUGAGACACGGCCCAGACUCCUACGGGAAGCAGCAGUGGGGAAUAUUGCACAAUGGAGGAAACUCUGAUGCAGCGACGCCGCGUGAGUGAAGAAGUAAUUCGUUAUGUAAAGCUCUAUCAGCAGGGAAGAUAGUGACGGUACCUGACUAAGAAGCUCCGGCUAAAUACGUG
rnacentral:rRNA from 1 species